rnacentral:lncRNA from 10 species
AGUGAGACUGACUGCGUCGGGGUUGAGACUGGGUGGAUGAGGCUCACCCCGGCGGGGAGAAGGGACGAGGAGGGGCGGACAGCGGAAGGUCCGGGAGUGUCCGCCAUAAAGUCGUUUGAGUUUUAACUUCUAGUCAUGGCGAAUGAUCGCAGGAGAGCACAGACUGGACCCUGCUACGAUCUCUCUUGGAGUGGAUCAGACUGAUGAUCACCAACAACCAACUCAUUCCCGGAUAAGGAAGAAGAGAGUGUCACCUACUUCAGUGUGGUUUCAACCCUACUUCUGCAUCUUAAAGACACUGUGUACAACGUUGGACACUGUGCAGGAUGAUGCCACUUCAUCUUGGAUGCUAAUCUGCCAUGUUGACUUCUGAUUAACCCCAGGCCCAGGAAUGCCUCAAGAUUUCUACUUUACUUACUGUUGCUUGUGUAAGCCAAGACAACCUUGAUGUUAUCAUAAACAUGUACUUACCUAAGUCCUGUCCUUUGGCAAAUUAUGGGCUAUGAGACACAGCAUUCUUGCCUUUCCCUGAGGGGUCAAUUUCAGCGAUCCUACACAUUCCUUCUGAAGCACUUAUGCUCUUUCUAUAUGGUAUGUAAGCUCUCGGUCUGGGGAGUAACAGUGCAGAGAUCUACCUGUCUUGUUGCCACAUGUUUCUAAACUUUCCAAUAAAUCACCUUCUACUG